rnacentral:snoRNA from 1 species
GGGCCAAUGAUGAGUUAUUAUCUUGACAAGAAAUGAUGACGUAAAAUCAAGCUUAGUUGGAUUACGCUGAGGCCA